rnacentral:rRNA from 6 species
AGAGUUUGAUCAUGGCUCAGAACAAACGCUGGCGGCGUGUCUUAAGCAUGCAAGUCGAGCGGCAAGGCGGGGCGACCCGCCCUAGAGCGGCGGACUGGUGAGUAACGCGUGGGUAAUCUACCUUGGGCAUGGGGAUAGCCAUUAGAAAUAGUGGGUAAUACCGAAUACGCUCGCGGGGGGAAGGGUCCUGUGAGGAAAGGGUGCUACGGCACCGGCCUGAGAUGAGCUCGCGUCCCAUUAGCUAGUUGGUGAGGUAAGGGCCCACCAAGGCGAUGAUGGGUAGCCGGCCUGAGAGGGUGUACGGCCACACUGGGACUGAGAUACGGCCCAGACUCCUACGGGAGGCAGCAGCUAAGAAUAUUCCGCAAUGGACGAAAGUCUGACGGAGCGACGCCGCGUGGAUGAAGAAGGCCGAAAGGUUGUAAAGUUCUUUUGCGAGGGAAGAAUAACCGCAGGAGGGAAUGCCUGUGGGAUGACAUGAACUUGCGAAUAAGCCCCGGCCAACUACGUGCCAGCAGCCGCGGUAACACGUAGGGGGCGAGCGUUGUUCGGAAUUACUGGGCGUAAAGGGCAUGUAGGCGGUCUGGUAAGCCUGGCGUGAAAGACCACAGCUUAACUGUGGGGUUGCGUUGGGAACUGCUGGGCUUGAGUGACGGAGAGGGAGCUGGAAUUCCUGGUGUAGGGGUGAAAUCUGUAGAUAUCAGGAAGAACACCGAUGGCGAAGGCAAGCUCCUGGCCGAUGACUGACGCUGAGGUGCGAAAGUGUGGGGAUCAAACAGGAUUAGAUACCCUGGUAGUCCACACGGUAAACGAUGUGCACUAGGUGCUGGGGCGGUAGCCUCGGUGCCGGAGCGAACGUGGUAAGUGCACCGCCUGGGGAGUAUGCUCGCAAGGGUGAAACUCAAAUGAAUUGACGG